rnacentral:rRNA from 1 species
AGUGGGGAAUAUUGGACAAUGGGCGCAAGCCUGAUCCAGCAAUACCGCGUGUGUGAAGAAGGCCUGAGGGUUGUAAAGCACUUUCAAUUGGGAGGAAAACCUGCUGAGAUAAUAUCAGGCAGCUUGACAUUACCUUUAGAAGAAGCACCGGCUAACUCCGUGCCAGCAGCCGCGGUAAUACGGAGGGUGCAAGCGUUAAUUGGAAUUACUGGGCGUAAAGCGUACGUAGGCGGUUAGUUAAGUUAGAUGUGAAAGCCCCGGGCUUAACCUGGGAACUGCAUUUAAAACUGGCAAACUAGAGUUGAGUAGAGGGGAGUGGAAUUUCAGGUGUAGCGGUGAAAUGCGUAGAGAUCUGAAGGAACACCAGUGGCGAAGGCGACUCCCUGGACUCAAACUGACGCUGAGGUACGAAAGCGUGGGUAGCAAACGGGAUUAGAUACCCCGGUAGUCCACGCCGUAAACGAUGUCAACUAACUGUUGGGACCUUCAAGGUCUUAGUGGUGGAGCU